rnacentral:lncRNA from 1 species
CUUAGGGACUAAGGAAGUUGUCUUUCCUCUUCUGACAUUUGCUGACUGGAUGAUGCUAGAUGAUCUUGAGACCCUGUACUGAAGACUGGAGAACUGCAGGAAAGGAGCCGUGCCUCUGAAUUAUCGUGUGGAAGACUGCUUGUUUAACCGCUGACGACUGUGAGGAAGGUGAAGGUGGUUAAGGAGGUGCCGCUCUGGGAGCAGAAGGCAGUCACUGGGGCAGAUCGGUGGAGCUAUGUUACGGAGAUCCAGGAUGGUCAGUGAGGAUGCUGGGCCUCACCUGGUCUCACUGUUGCUACCCCACUCAUCAACUUGAUCUGUUUGCCCCAAUCCCACCAUUUUGGAUGACAUUAUGGAUCCUCUGAUCUUUAACAAAUCCAUCCAAGAUUGUCUGUUUCUUCUUCUAAGGUGUCGCCAGGAAUGAAGAUUCUUUCACCUGAUUUAUUUUUUCUGGUUUAACACGUGUCUGAAAAAAUAAUAGCAAUUAUUAUUAUCAUUGUAGAAUUCAUUUCAUUCCUCUCAAA